UGCAGGGACAUGGAUGAAACUGGAAACCAUCAUUCUCAGCAAAAUAUUUUUGGGUUUUUUGGCCUUAAAAACAUUAUUUUUUCUUUUUCUCCAAGGUUCUUUGUUUAGUUGAGAGAAUUGUGUUUAGCCAUAAGAUUGGCUAUAAAAUUUUAAUUUUAAUGUAUACUCCAAAGGAGUAUUUUACUAUUUGUAAAUUUAAAGAGUCAGUUAAGGACUUUAAUUUUACCCAUUGGAAAUAAUAUGCCUUUUAAUUAUCUUCCUAGGAGAGAAAAUGAAAUAGUGCUUAAAAUUAAAUGUACAAUUUGAAGAAAAUAGAUUUUAUAUUAAUCUCCAAACCUCCAUGUGUUACCACCAGGAUUAUUUAAAUAAUAAAUUUAUGAAGUUUUCAAUUAAUGCCAUCCUUGGUUUGAUUCUGAUGUUAGUGUCCAUCGUUUAUAAAAAUGCUAUUCAUGUUAUCUUUACUAAUGAAGCAAAAAUUCCUUGAGCUUCUCUGGAAAGUUAGCAUGAGUUGGUCGUUUUCUGUUUCUGCGAUUGUGUAUAUAUAGCAUAUGGGAUUCUUUAUUUGAAACUGCGUUUAGAAUAAAAAAAGUUAAUUAACAUUGAAUUCUUUCCAAACCUUACUAGGUUUUUAAAAAAUCACAGUUGAUUACAUUGGCUCAAUUGUAAUUGCAUCUUUUUUUACUCCAAUGUACAAGAACUUUCUGUUCUCCUACUGUUUACAAUAGUAAUGCCACAGGAGCAAAGACUGCAGGUACAUCAUGCCUGUUUCUGCUGUCGCCGCCUAUUUGGCUGGGGAGAUAGGGAGAAACAGUUGAUGGUUCUGAAACCUCUCCUGAGACCAUGUGAGGUAAAAAGGUAUGGCUUUGCACAUCCUGGGACUAGGAAGAGUUUCAUCUUUUCCUAAUAUCUUCUAUCUCAGGCUGCUUUUGGAAAAAUUUUUCUUAGAGUGUAAACAUGGGGCAGACUAAUGUGGUAACACAUAACAUUGUCUGGGAGACACUUUAGUUUAAGAACAUUCAAGUAAUAGACAAUCAUUCUGCCCCUUGCUAGACCAUUCUAAAAAACAAACAAACAAAAAAGUCCAAGUAAAAAAUCUCCUGCCCUACAAAUGUUAACUUUCCUCUUUUAUUUUCUGAAAUCUCUGAGGAUAUUGUGAGAAUGCUUUCUGAUGGGGCUGGUUAGCUCUGAGUUUUAGAAUGAUACUCAGAUGAAGCUAAAUUCUAUGAGUUCUUGUUACCUUUUACUCUUCCUGUGACACAGGAGGCAUAUUCAACACAGUCAUCUUAUAAAUGUGGUGUUACAGCAUUUAUACAGGAAGAUUAUCAGAAAAAUUAUUCAAAGUUUAUGUCCCAUAUGAGGAAGAUGAGUGCGACAUUUUUGAACACAUAUGCAUACAGAUUUGAAAUCCACAGGAGAAAAGCAAAUGUCGGUUCGUUUUAUUACUGACCCUUCUUGUCAUUUCAUGUAAGUAAUUUCUCUAAUUUGUGCCUCAAUUUUCUCUCCUGACAAAUCAUGAUAAUUAUAUAAAGAGGUAAGCCUUCUUAAGUUAACACUCUUAAGAUAUCAAUUUGGGAAUUUACCAGUUUUGAAAAACUUGGACAAGUUAGGUAACUUUUUUGAGUUUUAUCAUAGCUGAGAAUUCUUACAUUAUAAAAAUAAAAAAAUGUGGGAGAUGUUCUAUUGUGAUUGUCACAAAAUAAGUUGUCAGUGGAUGGUAAUUUUCAUUAUUUUUCCCAUUACACAUUUUUAGUGGUCUCAAGAAAACACAUGAGGCUAUAAUAUAUAUUAAUCUACUUGGAGAACCAGAAUUAAUAUUGGACUGAUGUAUCAAUAAUGAAAACUGAGAUGUAUUUAAAUUAAUUUAGUUGUAUAUGGAUGUCAUGACUACUCUUAUUGAAAACAAACAACUAAACCAAAAAUUGAUCCGCAUAGCAUUUUUAGCUGUAUUAAUGUUGAAACAAUACAAACAAGAAAACCAAAUCAUGUGAAAAGGCGAGUUAGCUCAGCAACUGAGUGUAUAUUAGUAUGACUUUAUUGUAUAGAUUCUAAAAGUACUACUCAUUAGCUGAUCACCACCAUUUUCAGUGUAAAGACAUCUCCUUAAUAUUAAAAAUAUUCACCGACUUAUAUACAAUAUGGUAGUUUUAGGAUUUAUUAACUGAGAAAAUACACAGUGACAAAAAACAAAUGAGGGUUCCAUUUCACUUUUCAGUGAGUUUGCAUUUUAAUUAUUUUGUCAUAGGAGUAUAUGCAAAAGUUGUAUAUCCAAGUCUGUCUUCACUUAGACUGGGGCUCAUUGUUGAAUAUAUCUAAAUUCUACAAGUUAGAGGCAAAAUGAGGCGAGAACUGUUUUUGUUAAUUUUUGUACAAAUGUAAACCUAUUUUUUCCAUAGUGCAUACAAAGUCAUGGAGGGAGAUUUGAGGUUUAAAAUGCAAUAAAUUAUCAUUCAUUUCUUCAUUCGUUCUUUCAAAAACUUCUCCAGUGAGCCUGUGUUAUGAGCCAAGGGGCUGGGAAUACAACAGUGAAUUAAGAUAAAGAUGCUAUCCUCAUGCUAUUGCCACUUACAGUUUUGUGGACAAGAAAUACAGCAAACAAACAUUUUAUAAUAGAAUUUUGCAAUAAUAGUGACAUAAGGGUAAGGGGCAAGAGAGUGAGGGAGUGUGUGAGUGUGUGUAUGUGUGUGUAUGUUAUGUACCUGUGAGAGAGAGAAUGUAUCAAGGAAAGUCUGAGGAGAUUAUUAACAUCUGAGCAGGCUAACAUGCAUAUAUUUGGGGAAAGGUAUUUCUGGUAGUGGAAAUAACAUGUCCUAAAACAGUAAAGAAAUUGUCAUGUUAGAGCAACACAAAGAGGACAAAUUAGGCUACAGAGGGUAACCAAGGAAGGAUGUUAGGAGCUGAGGUCAGAGAUUUAGGUGGGGUUUCAUCAUCUAGGACCUUGCAGGGCAUGACCACUAUCAGACAAGUUUGCCUCAGAGGUAAAAGCAAUUAUGACAACUCUUGAAAAAUAAGAUUUUUGCUGCCUAAUGUAUCCCCACAAGUUUGGCAAAAAUUAAUACAGCUUUCUAAAGUCUGAAUUCAUAUUUAUAUCUAGGAAGCCAUGUGUUAUUCUUUUUUUCAUAUGCAGUUAGAGAAAUGAUCUCUUUCUGUUUUUGAUGCCCCUCAGAACUUAUUAUUAAUAAUUCUGUAUUAGUGGUGGGCAGGGGAAAUAGCUUCCUAUUUUAUAAAACUCAGACUUCUGGGGCACUUGAAAUUGGAGUUUAUCUUUACUUUUGGUUCCAGUUUCUAGAACCUCAAAUUUCUUGUUAGUAAGGGGUCCUUUCUUCCACAAUCCGAGAAAAAAUUAAUUAAACAUGGGUACUGAGUCAUCGUUGUUUAUGAAAAAUGGAAUUAUAACUGGGUGAGAUGGAAAGGUAGAUGAAUAGAUUAUGACUUUUGUGUAGUGUGAAUUUUUACAAAUAACUGCAUUCUUUUCUGUUUAGAAAAAGAGAAACUUGUAGUUCCUGAUCAUUUCGACAUUUUUCCUUCUCCUCUCUACAGGUACACUUUAUCUACUUCUGUGGUUUUAAUGUAAAAACCUAAAUUUCCUGUUCUGCCAUUUCUUUUGAGGCCCAGAGUUUUUUGUCUAAUUAACUACUGAAUAUUCUGCAGACAGUUAAAACCUAGGGUAUCUAAAAUCAAAGUCACCAAUUUUCUGUCUCAGACCAGCUUCUUCUGCAUAUUCCCAGUCAUAGCUGAUGGCAUCCCAUUCUGCCUAUUCUCCCAAGUUAGAAUUCUGAAUCAUCUUUGCUCUGUCUUUUUUCUUUCUGCCUCAUCCUCAGGUCACAGCACAUUGUUCUACUGUAAGGAUAUUUCUUAAAUAGCACCUUAUCUCCUUUCCCAUUUACUACUGCCUCUUACCUAAACUUGUGCAAUAACUUCCUGUCAGUUUCUUCAAAUCUGUUCAUCUCCCCUUCUACUUCCUGGUAUGCUUAUAAAAAUACAGUAUGUAAAUGACUUUUACUUGUUCCCUACGGUCUGUAAGACAUACAAAAAUUACUCAGCAUGCCAUGCAAGUCUAUUUACAGUCUUUUAAGUUGGAUAUCUGGCCUCAUAAUCUAAGGUCUGACUGCAACAAAAUACUUGUCGUUCUUCAAAUAUUUGCUCAUGCUUUUCCCUCCUGUGGUAAUGUUACCUUCACUCUCUAAGACACACAUAGAUCUUUCAUUUUCUGGUAAAUAAGCUGCCUCGCAUUGUUCAAUAUUAAAUGUUGAUUUCUUUGUGAGUUCUUGCUGUUCUCAUGGCUGCUCCUUUCUGUAUUUCUAAGAAUUCUCUUGGCAGAUGCGGAUCGUAGCGGGUGGCUGCUGCUGUAAGGCGGUUGUGGAAGUUAAUAAAGGUAUCCAUGGAGAACACUGAAAACUCAGUGGAUUCAAAAUCCAUUAAAAGUUUGGAACCAAAGAUCAUACAUGGAAGCAAAUCAGUGGACUCUGGAAUAUCCCUGGAUGACAGUUAUGAAAUGGAUUAUCUUGAGAGGUCUAUGUAUAAUAAUUAAUAAUAAGAAUUUUCAUAAAAGCACUGAAAUGACAUCUCAGUCUGGUACAGAUGUUGAUGCAGCAAACUUCAGGGAAACAUUCAUAAACUUGAAAUAUGAAGUCAGGAAUAAAAACGAUCUUACACGUGAAGAAAUUGUGGAAUUGAUGCAUAAUGUCUCUAAAGAAGAUCACAGCAAAAGGAGUAGUUUUGUUUGUAGGCUUCUGAGCCAUGGUGAAGAAGGAAUAAUUUUUGGAACAAAUGGACCUGUUGACCUGAAAAAAAAAUAACAAGCUUUUUCAGAGGGGAUUGUUGUAGAAGUCUAACUGGAAAACCCAAACUUUUCAUUAUUCGGGCCUGCUGUGGUACAGAACUGGACUGUGGCAUUGAGACAGACAGUGGUGUUGAGGAUGACGUGGCGUGUCAUAAAAUACCAGUGGAGGCCGACUUCUUGUAUGCAUACUCCACAGCACCUGGUUAUUAUUCUUGGCGAAAUUCAAAGGAUGGCUCCUGGUUCAUCCAGUCACUUUAUGCCAUGCUGAAACAGUACGCCGACAAGCUUGAAUUUAUGCACAUUCUUACCCAGGUUAACGGAAAGGUGGCAACAGAAUUUGAGUCCUUUUCCCUUGAUGCUACUUUUCAUGCAAAGAAACAGAUUCCAUGUAUUGCUUUCAUGCUCACAAAAGAACUGUAUUUUUAUCACUAAAGAAAUGGUUGGUUGGUUGCUGGUUGUUUUUAGUUUGUAUGUCAGGUGAGAAGAUGGUAUAUUUGGUACUGUAUUUCCCUCUCAUUUUGACCUAGUCUCAUGCCGCAGAGGGUACUUUAAGUCGUACUACUUCCAUCAGGUGAAACCACUGUGAAGCUACCUCAAACUUACAGCCAGGUAGUUGCAAUUGAAUUAAAUUAGGAAUAAAUAAAAAUGGACACUGGUGCAGUCAUUAUGAGAGGCAAUGAUUGUUAAUUUACAGCUUUCAUGAUUAGCAAGUUACAGUGAUGCUGUGCUAUGAAUUUUCAAGUAACCAUGAAAAAGUUAAACAUUGAAGUAAUGAAUUUUUAUGAUAUUCCCCCCACUUAAGACUGUGUAUUCCAGUUUUGUCAAACUAUAGGAAUGAUGAUGUGGAAGAACUUAGGCAUCUAUGGGCAUGGUCAAAGGCUCAAACCUUUUUUUAGUAUUGAUAAACAAAGAUGACCUAACUGCAUUUUUAGACCAUUUAUCUGGGAUUAUGGUUUUGUGAUGUCUGUCCUGAACACUUUUGUUGUAAAAAAAUAAUAAUAAUGUUUAAUAUUGAGAAAGAAACUAAGUAUUUUAUGUGAAAGGAAGUGUGAGCAAACUUAACUCUUUUAAGACUAAAACAUAACAUUCAUAGAGGGGUGGAUUUUAACUGUAAGGUGCUGCAAUGCAACUGAUCUACCAGCAUAAAUACCUUCUGAUUUGUCCCUAUGCAGAUCAGUUGAGCUUCACAUGCCAGCAAUAUAUCUGAAGAGCUGUUAUAUCAAAAGCCCAAACUGUUGAUUAUUAUGAAUAAAUUCUAUAGGAACAUAUGAAAAUACAACUUAAAUAAUAAAAAGUGGAAUAUAAGAAAAGCAUUAAAUGGAUGGGCUGAGUUGCCUCUAACUUGAGAGCAGAUGGUUUGAUCUUGAGCAGAGACAUGACUCGGCCUGUUCCGUGAAGGCAGAGCCACGGACCAUGGUUCCAGGAACGGCCUGCAGCCCACUUCUCCAUACACACUGGUGUGUGUGGACGAUGCUGCCAGGGCACCACUGCCAAGUAAGAAAGUGAAGCAAAUCAGAAAUUUGUGAAGUGGAAAUGUUCUAAAUGUGUACACACCACAGUGUCUACCUUACAGCAUGGAUUCAAUUAAUGUUUAGUGACAUUAAAAAAGGAGGAGGAAAAGAAGAAGAAAAAUGCAAAUAAACCUGGGAGAGAACACAGUGUCUAAAAUGUUACUGUAAAGAUGGAAGCAGCACCAUAACCAGAAACAACACCGGUAGUAAAGCCAUUGCUGAAAACUAAGUCAAGAAAAACAAAGGUCUGCAUUGAAACAAGUAGU